rnacentral:rRNA from 1 species
CUUAACACAUGCAAGUCGAGGGGAAACGACAUCGAAAGCUUGCUUUUGAUGGGCGUCGACCGGCGCACGGGUGAGUAACGCGUAUCCAACCUGCCCACCACUUGGGGAUAACCUUGCGAAAGUAAGACUAAUACCCAAUGAUAUCUCUAGAAGACAUCUGAAGGAGAUUAAAGAUUUAUCGGUGAUGGAUGGGGAUGCGUCUGAUUAGCUUGUUGGCGGGGUAACGGCCCACCAAGGCGACGAUCAGUAGGGGUUCUGAGAGGAAGGUCCCCCACAUUGGAACUGAGACACGGUCCAAACUCCUACGGGAGGCAGCAGUGAGGAAUAUUGGUCAAUGGGCGAGAGCCUGAACCUGCCAAGUAGCGUGCAGGAUGACGGCCCUAUGGGUUGUAAACUGCUUUUAUAAGGGAAUAAAGUGAGUCUCGUGAGACUUUUUGCAUGUACCUUAUGAAUAAGGACCGGCUAAUUCCGUGCCAGCAGCCGCGGUAAUACGGAAGGUCCGGGCGUUAUCCGGAUUUAUUGGGUUUAAAGGGAGCGUAGGCCGGAGAUUAAGCGUGUUGUGAAAUGUAGACGCUCAACGUCUGCACUGCAGCGCGAACUGGUUUCCUUGAGUACGCACAAAGUGGGCGGAAUUCGUGGUGUAGCGGUGAAAUGCUUAGAUAUCACGAAGAACUCCGAUUGCGAAGGCAGCUCACUGGAGCGCAACUGACGCUGAAGCUCGAAAGUGCGGGUAUCGAACAGGAUUAGAUACCCUGGUAGUCCGCACGGUAAACGAUGGAUGCCCGCUGUUGGUCUGAAUAGGUCAGCGGCCAAGCGAAAGCAUUAAGCAUCCCACCUGGGGAGUACGCCGGCAACGGUGCAA